rnacentral:rRNA from 1 species
UACGUAGGGUGCGAGCGUUUAAUCGGAAUUACUGGGCGUAAAGGGUGCGCAGGCGGUUAUAUAAGACAGAUGUGAAAUCCCCGGGCUCAACCUGGGAACUGCGUUUGUGACUGUAUGACUAGAGUACGGUAGGUAGGGGAGAUCGGAAUUCCUGGUGUAGCGGUGAAAUGCGCAGAUAUCAGGAGGAACACCGGUGGCGAAGGCGGAUCUCUGGGCCUUACCUGACGCUCAGGUGCGAAAGCUAGGGGGAGCGAACAGG